UAAACUGUUUAAGUAACUGUUUAAUCUGAAAUCAAAUUUGCUUGAGUACACAUCCAAAACAAUUCAAGUUACAUUUUCUAAAUGCUCUCUCCCACUGCACCAUACUGGUGUAAAAUUGAAGUAAACGUUUUUCUAGGCAUACAAACUUAAUGAAUAUUCUUUAAAAAAAAAGAAGCAGUUAUGUAAUUUGAUGACAUCCUGGCUUUUAGAGUGGUGCAACAGACACCCCCUGUUUUCAGGGACUAGAUGGUAUAUCCCAGUCUCUCCCUCUCUAUUUCUCCUCCCUCCUGCUUUUAGUGUCCUCCAUCCAUCUUCCUCUUUCGUAAACUAAAGACCUUUUCACCAAGACAUUUACUCAUCCAUCUGUUGUUCUUGAAACAUCUACAGACGUGCUGAAGAGUGAAGCAGCACAGAGCUGACCAAAUAAAGACUCCUCCUGACCAGACCACACCUCUGUCUUUGAGUCGAUGGAAGCCAAGGCCAAGUCCGGGGCUUCGGCACCCAAGGCGCCAACUAAAGCAGAGAAGAAGGAGCUGGCAGCCCCACGCAAAGCUGAGCCUGCACCUGCAGCCCCUGCAGCUCCUGCAGCUCCGGCAGCCCCUGCAGCCCCUGCAGCCCCUGCAGCCCCCGAGCCGGAGCAUCCUCCUCCCCAGGAUGGGGCAGCAGAAGCUGAAGCAGCAGCAGCAGGUGACGAGGCUGCGGCCUCCGGCACAGACUCUUUGGAACAGCUGAAACCGUUUCUCAUUGGUGGUGCCGUUAUAGCUGCAGGUGCCGUCUUGCUGGGAGUGCUGCUACUGGCGAGGAGAAAUUAAGACCAAAUUAUUAUCUCAAAUUAAAGUAUUUAUUGGGAUAUGAGUUAAGAGUGGUGUUGGCUGGGGGUUUAGAGACUAUUAUGGUACAGAUGGGGGAUGGGGGGUCACUCUUUAUCUUGUGUUUAUUUAUUUUUUAGCCUGCUUUCACUUAUAGUGAAUCCAAUCAUUCAAGUUUCGAUAAAGAGCAUAAUUGCACAUGAUAUAUGCAUGCAUUUGUUUUAAUACUACUUCCGAACUGUAUAAACCCAUUUUCUUAAAAAAAAUCACACUAGUACUGAGCAGAGAGCCCAAACUCUCUAAAGGUAGCUACUUUUGUUUUCACAAAUAUUAACAACAACAACAACAAAUAUUUGCAACAUAUAUAAAUCCUUGCUCCAGAAAUCCACCUGGUUCACUUUGCUAAUACUGGCUAUCAGAGCGCUCCUAACGUUUAUUUCACCUUUGAAUUAGACAAUUGAAAGAGUAUGUCUGAAAACAGGUAGAAAUAUGCUUUGGUUAAAGAGAAAUAGAAGAAGAAAACAAAAUACACAAAGUGGUAUAGGAAUGGCAUUUAGCAGAUUGUAAGACAUAAAACAUGUACUAUAUGUGUCAGAGAAAUAUAUAGUAAAGUUACCUUUCAAUGUAGAAUAAGAUUUUUACUUUACUGUUAAAUGAUGUCACAAAUCAAUAACCUUUCAUGUCUCACUCAACAUCCACGGUUCACUCUUACGAUAGAUUAGCCAUUAGUGUUGCAUUAGCAGGUUUAAAGCCUGCUACCAAAACGUAAGAGUUGUUUAUCUCUUCACUGUGUUCCACUCAUGAGGCCGUUGGAGAAAAACAAAACGCAAUCCUCAGACAUACCCAUGCACAACUUCAUUGUAAUGCGAGGUUGUUAUUACAAUGCCAGUGGUGUGUAGAUGUUUCUGUUACUACAACUGUUGAGUUGUAGUAAACAUUAAAAAAAUUCCACUUCUAUUGAAGGAAGCUCUCAAUGGUUCAGCUGUACACGUUAGUGCACACUCAUUAUGUAAAUCUCAUGGAGAUGUCACUGCUGCAUAAGUAGAUAGACAGACAGUUCUGAACAUUAUUGUAGGGCCCUUAUGCAUUUUACCAACACAUUACAGGCCCAAAAAUACUGUAAUAACAUACCUCAUAUUCACCACAGUCCACACCUACACACACAUAAAAAAGAUGGUAUGCCCACACCAAAACAAAGUUCACAUUACAUUGUACAAGGCAGUGUUCCAAUAAAAAGAGAAAUCCUAUUUUCAUAAUGUUAACAGCGUAUAAAUGCAAUAAUUCAGAUAGGACUCCUGAUUUAGCACCUGUGCUGUAGCAAGUUAAAGUACAUAUAUGAUGAUAUAACGAUAUUCGUGGUGAUAAUGAUGUAUGAAGUUAGUGAAUGCAAUGAUGCCGAUGAUACAAAUGAUGACUGCAAUGAUUAUGUUUUCAAUGGGGACUUUUAUGAUGAUACCAAUGGUUAUGAUAUAUUUUUGAUAUAUUUCUAACAUAUUUCCCUUAUGUACACUCCCCUCUUCCCCCAAACUCCAAAGUGUAAAAAAGGAGCGGUCGUAAUCUAACCUUUAUUAAAGACAGUGAACCAGCCCAAGUAAAUAUUUCUUCAUUUGAAAUUUUGUGUAUUAAGUGUCAGCUUUGUGAGAUUCGUGUUUCAAAUGUUAUGAAUGGGUUCUUUGGUCUUUAGAAAAUUCUAGAAGCAAACCAAUUCAGUUACAUUAACAAAAGCAAAAAAUUCAAGUGGGAUUUUUAAAACAGUUUCAAAGGGAACAUAAAAGUACAGACGUUGCAAUUUACAACAGUUUGUAACGUGAAAAAUAUCCACUGUCAAAUUAACAUUUUAAUAUUCAUAAAAACUAUGAAAACAAAGAUUGAAUAUCCGGGUGUAAACUACUACAUUUAGUUUUCUUUGAAAACAAGGUUUAUGGUACAAUUGUAGAAUAUCGUUCAUCAGCAGUCACUACACAUGUUUAAUUGCUCUAAUUUGAAGGACACUUGCUAAAACAUGUGUGAGUUGUUACUCUCAGUUAUCAAUCCGUAGACUAGCUAAUAUAACUCAUCCAGCAACACCCACAGAAGUGUUUCAUUGGGCCUUUAAUCAGGGAGAGGCCGUGUGGGGUAUGAUAGGAUGUUGCUAAAAGAUUUAGGCCAAGACUUGGCACAAAAAGUGCAACAAAACUCACCAGAAUCAGGGAGUCAAUUAUCAUUUGAGAGGUUUUUCAUCGUACACAUUUUGAGUCGCAGCUUUUGAAAUAUACAGUUGCCAUUUUACUGUACUUAACUUUGUCUUUUUUAAGACAAUGAUUGUUUUGCAGUGGAUUUAUUUAAUGGUACACUGGGAGAUGUUUUAAAUAUUCGUGCUUCCUAUUGAUAGCAAUGAGGUUGUAUGGUUUGCAUCAAAUAACACUUUAUUUGAUACUUUACAUUUUCAUUAAGCCUUUGAGCAACGGAAGCCUUUAUUUUGAAGGGUCGGGGCGGAAACGUUUUAGUUUCGGCUCGAGGGAACGAGGGAAGCUACAAUCAGUUUCUCUCAGACAAACUUAAAACUUAAGCUUGAUCUGAUAACGGUGCUUUACGAUGAUAAUCCCCGUCCGGUGUUUCACGUGUGGGAAGAUUGUGGGGAACAAGUGGGAGGCCUACCUGGGCCUACUUCAAGCAGAGUACACGGAGGGCGACGCCCUUGAUGCCCUCGGCCUGAAGAGAUACUGUUGUCGGCGGAUGCUCCUUUCUCAUGUGGAUCUUAUUGAGAAAUUGUUGAAUUAUGCUCCAUUGGAGAAGUGAUUGUUACUGGCUACCUUCACAAAUAACAAACUUUUAGGCUUGUAGCAUGGACAGACUGAACGGCCAUGCCAAAAAUAUUUGUCAGAACAAAUGGCAAUUAGAAUACACAUAUGGAACUUUGCACCACCUUGAAAUGCUUUUUUUUCUAAAUAAAUGGGUUGAAUGACA